rnacentral:rRNA from 1 species
UAGGGAAUCUUCGGCAAUGGACGAAAGUCUGACCGAGCAACGCCGCGUGAGUGAAGAAGGUUUUCGGAUCGUAAAACUCUGUUGGUAGAGAAGAACGUUGGUGAGAGUGGAAAGCUCAUCAAGUGACGGUAACUACCCAGAAAGGGACGGCUAACUACGUGCCAGCAGCCGCGGUAAUACGUAGGUCCCGAGCGUUGUCCGGAUUUAUUGGGCGUAAAGCGAGACGCGGUGGUUAUUAAGUCUUGUGAAAAGGCAGUGGCUACAACCAUUGUAUGCAUUGGAAA